UCUUUGACCGCAGUCUGGAAUGGUUUUAGGCUUCAUGUUGUCUAAAAGGGAUCGAUUAUAUGAUGUUAUUUGAAUCGUAAACAUAAAAUUUUCCUAUAGUAAGUGAAGUGUAAUUGAUUUGUCAAUUUUUCCUGUCUAUUAUCUCUAACAAAUUAUUAAUCGCAGCUGUGAAAAAAGUGUACCGGAGAGUUAGAAGUGAAAAGUAGUGGUGUUUGACGGAAGCAGAAAAUCUAAAAGUGCAUAACAAAAGAGGCAGUUCCUGUUAUAUGUAAAAGGUACCAAUCUCCUUGAUCGGGAGUAUAAAGCACAAGAGAGAAAGAGCAUCCUGUACAGUAUGAGGGUAAUUAAACGUACAAACCAUGUGUAGUGAGUACGAGUUGUACGAGUUUUGACUAGUGAUACUGAAUCUUAUCGGCAUAAUCGUGGAUCCGCUGCAAAUAUUUUGGGUACUGACCAACAGUACUUAUUUAGCGUCCGGUGUACGAUACAAGAUCUCGAGCGAUAACGUAGGCAAUGUGUUUGCCAUACACAACACAACAGGCGCCCUGUACGUAGCCAAGGCGUAAGAUUAUGAGAAGAUCAAAAAGUAUGAGCUACGAUAGACAGCAUCGAAAAAUUUAAAGGAGAAUUACACUACCGUUCUGAUUAACGUUCGCGGUGUAAACGACAAUCCACCGGCGUUUGAGAAAUCCUUAUAUCGCACACAAAUCACCGAGGAAGACGACCGAGGGCUGCCGAAGCGUCUACUGCUGGUAAGUGUGUGCUAGCGAUGGGACCAUCUGACCCUUGCGUUCGAGACAGUUCAGCUGGAGGCGACUUAUGCUUGAGGGACUAGAGAAUCGAGAAAGCAUUC